rnacentral:rRNA from 1 species
GAUGAACGCUGGCGGCGUGCCUAAUACAUGCAAGUCGAGCGAACAGACGAGGAGCUUGCUCCUCUGACGUUAGCGGCGGACGGGUGAGUAACACGUGGAUAACCUACCUAUAAGACUGGGAUAACUUCGGGAAAACGGAGCUAAUACCGGAUAAUAUAUUGAACCGCAUGGUUCAAUAGUGAAAGACGGUUUUGCUGUCACUUAUAGAUGGAUCCGCGCCGCAUUAGCUAGUUGGUAAGGUAACGGCUUACCAAGGCAACGAUGCGUAGCCGACCUGAGAGGGUGAUCGGCCACACUGGAACUGAGACACGGUCCAGACUCCUACGGGAGGCAGCAGUAGGGAAUCUUGCACAAUGGGCGAAAGCCUGACGGAGCAACGCCGCGUGAGUGAUGAAGGUCUUCGGAUCGUAAAACUCUGUUAUUGGGGAAGAACAAAUGUGUAAGUAACUAUGCACGUCUUGACGGUACCUAAUCAGAAAGCCCCGGCUAACUACGUG